rnacentral:rRNA from 1 species
GGCCCCCAGGGUCCGAGUUGUAAUUUGCAGAGGAUGCUUUUGGCGAGGUGCCUUCCGAGUUCCCUGGAACGGGACGCCAUAGAGGGUGAGAGCCCCGUCUGGUUGGACACCGAGCCUCUGUAAAGCUCCUUCGACGAGUCGAGUAGUUUGGGAAUGCUGCUCUAAAUGGGAGGUAUAUGUCUUCUAAAGCUAAAUAUUGGCCAGAGACCGAUAGCGCACAAGUAGAGUGAUCGAAAGAUGAAAAGCACUUUGAAAAGAGGGUUAAAUAGUACGUGAAAUUGUUGAAAGGGAAGCGCUCAUGACCAGACUUGGGCCCGGUGAAUCAUCCAGCGUUCUCGCUGGUGCACUUUGCCGGGCUCAGGCCAGCAUCAGUUUGCUCCGGGGGAUAAAGGCUUUGGGAAUGUGGCUCCUCCGGGAGUGUUAUAGCCCAUUGCACAAUACCCUGGGGCGGACUGAGGUUCGCGCAUUUAUGCAAGGAUGCUGGCGUAAUGGUCAUCAGCGA